UAAGGGCGCACGGUGGAUGCCUUGGCACUAGAAGCCGAUGAAGGACGUUACUAACGACGAUAUGCUUUGGGGAGCUGUAAGUAAGCUUUGAUCCAGAGAUUUCCGAAUGGGGAAACCCAGCAUGAGUUAUGUCAUGUUAUCGAUAUGUGAAUACAUAGCAUAUCAGAAGGCACACCCGGAGAACUGAAACAUCUUAGUACCCGGAGGAAGAGAAAGAAAAUUCGAUUCCCUUAGUAGCGGCGAGCGAAACGGGAAGAGCCCAAACCAACAAGCUUGCUUGUUGGGGUUGUAGGACACUCUAUACGGAGUUACAAAGGACGACAUUAGACGAAUCAUCUGGAAAGAUGAAUCAAAGAAGGUAAUAAUCCUGUAGUCGAAAAUGUUGUCUCUCUUGAGUGGAUCCUGAGUACGACGGAGCACGUGAAAUUCCGUCGGAAUCUGGGAGGACCAUCUCCUAAGGCUAAAUACUCUCUAGUGACCGAUAGUGAACCAGUACCGUGAGGGAAAGGUGAAAAGCACCCCGGAAGGGGAGUGAAAUAGAACCUGAAACCGUGUGCUUACAAGUAGUCAGAGCCCGUUAAUGGGUGAUGGCGUGCCUUUUGUAGAAUGAACCGGCGAGUUACGAUUUGAUGCAAGGUUAAGCAGUAAAUGUGGAGCCGUAGCGAAAGCGAGUCUGAAUAGGGCGUUUAGUAUUUGGUCGUAGACCCGAAACCAGGUGAUCUACCCUUGGUCAGGUUGAAGUUCAGGUAACACUGAAUGGAGGACCGAACCGACUUACGUUGAAAAGUGAGCGGAUGAACUGAGGGUAGCGGAGAAAUUCCAAUCGAACCUGGAGAUAGCUGGUUCUCUCCGAAAUAGCUUUAGGGCUAGCCUCAAGUGAUGAUUAUUGGAGGUAGAGCACUGUUUGGACGAGGGGCCCCUCUCGGGUUACCGAAUUCAGACAAACUCCGAAUGCCAAUUAAUUUAACUUGGGAGUCAGAACA
rnacentral:rRNA from 1 species